rnacentral:rRNA from 1 species
UACAGAGGGGGCAAGCGUUGUUCGGAUUUAUUGGGCGUAAAGGGUCCGUAGGCGGUUUGGAAAGUCAGAUGUGAAAUCCCACAGCUCAACUGUGGAACUGCAUUUGAAACUUCCAGACUAGAGUAUGAGAGGGGUAAGGGGAAUUCCCGGUGUAAGGGUGAAAUCUGCAGAGAUCGGGAGGAACACCAGUCGCGAAGGCGCCUUACUGGCUCAUUACUGACGCUCAGGGACGAAAGCUAGGGGAGCAAACGGG